UUUAAAUAGCUGCAGUAUUUUAACUGUACUAAGGUAGCAUAAUCAUUAGUCUUUUAAUUGAGGUCUGGAAUGAAUGGUUUAACAAGAGAAUAACUUUAUUAAUUUAAUGGGUUUAAACUUUAUUUUUUAGUUAAAAAGCUAAAAUUUUUAAAUGGGACGAUAAGACCCUAUAGAUCUUUAAAUUUUUAAUUUAUAAUAAUUUUUUGGUGGUAAAAAAUUUUAUUUUUAAAAAUUUUUUGUUGGGGUGAUAUAUAAAUUUUUAAGACUUUAUAAUUUUUUUAACAUUUAUGGAUGAUUUAUUGAUCCAAAAUUUUUGAUUAUUAAAAUAAGAUACCUUAGGGAUAACAGCGUUAUAAAUUUGUAUAGUUCAUAUAGAUAAAUUUGUUUGCGACCUCGAUGUUGAAUUAAUAAAAAUUUUUGGAGCAGAAACUAAAAUUUUAGGUCUGUUCGACCUUUAAAAUGUUACA
rnacentral:rRNA from 1 species